AUCGUGGGAUAACCUCGAUAAUAUUAUUCGAGUAGUACUGUACUGUCGCUUGAGCACUCCAUUCCUGCAGUAAUCAAGUGUUUUCAUAUUGGUAAGUUCCAGCUAUAGCGUUGGUGGCUUCUCGAGGCGUUUAACCUGAAAUAUUCUCUCGUUGUCAAUCGCGAAAAUUCAGAAAAAAACGUUUAACAAUCAAUCCAGUGAUGGAAAGCAAAGAGGACGUGGUUAGAGUGAAGCAAGAGCCGAAGGAUACUUGGCUAGAUCCAGACAUCGUUCAUAAUUUCGAUUCGACAAACUCUUGUGAACGUACGUUGCCGUAUUAAUUAUCGGCAAAACACACAAAUGCGGCUGUGGCGUUACAAGAAAGGUUAGGUAAAAAAAUAUACAUCGAUUUUGAGUGCAAAGAUGUCAAACUUAAAUUCCCGUCUCUAGCGACAACCAUCAAUCCAAUCCAAUGACACGAAUCAAAAAAGUCUAAUAAUUUUGAUUAAAAAAGAAUUCGAUUACGACAAUAACUGUCAAUUCCAAGAAAAAUCUUUAUAUGAACUUGGAAAAUCCAAGGUUUUGAAAGAAUUUGAAAUAAGAACUCAAACCAAAUUACCUCAUAAUUAAAAUUUUUGUUGAAAAGCUUAUAAAGGAAAAGUGAGUGGAAAAACACAUACCAAUUAGACACAUAAGACCAUUAGACCAUAUAAAUGUGACAUUUGCCACAAAUCAUUUGGACUAAAAGGUAACCUUAAAACUCACAUAAAUAUAGUACAUGUUCGUAGUACACUCUUUCAAUGUAAGAUUUAUCAUAAAUUAUUUGGACAAAAAGGCAACCUCAAAACUCACAUUA